GAGUUUGAUCCUGGCUCAGAGUGAACGCUGGCGGCGUGCUUAACACAUGCAAGUCGAACGAGAACGGAUUAUAGCUUGCUAUAAUUGUCAGCUAAGCGGCGCACGGGUGAGUAAUGUAUAGAUAACCUGCCCUUAAGAAAGGAAUAACAGUUGGAAACGACUGCUAAUGCCCUAUAUGCCUUUAAUACAUAAGUAUGCAAGGGAAACGCUUUAGUGCUUAAGGAUGGGUCUGUAUGGUAUCAGCUUGUUGGUGAGGUAAUGGCUCACCAAGGCUAUGACGCCUAACUGGUUUGAGAGGAUGAUCAGUCACACUGGAACUGAGACACGGUCCAGACUCCUACGGGAGGCAGCAGUGGGGAAUAUUGCACAAUGGACGAAAGUCUGAUGCAGCAACGCCGCGUGGAGGAUGACACAUUUCGGUGCGUAAACUCCUUUUAUAUAGGAAGAUAAUGACGGUACUAUAUGAAUAAGCACCGGCUAACUCCGUGCCAGCAGCCGCGGUAAUACGGGGGGUGCAAGCGUUACUCGGAAUCACUGGGCGUAAAGAGCGUGUAGGCGGGUAUAUAAGUCAGAAGUGAAAUCCAAUAGCUCAACUAUUGAACUGCUUUUGAAACUGUAUACCUAGAAUGUGGGAGAGGUAGAUGGAAUUUCUGGUGUAGGGGUAAAAUCCGUAGAGAUCAGAAGGAAUACCGAUUGCGAAGGCGAUCUACUGGAACAUUAUUGACGCUGAGACGCGAAAGCGUGGGGAGCAAACAGGAUUAGAUACCCUGGUAGUCCACGCCCUAAACGAUGUACACUAGUUGUUGUGAGGCUCGACCUUGCAGUAACGCAGUUAACACAUUAAGUGUACCGCCUGGGGAGUACGGUCGCAAGAUUAAAACUCAAAGGAAUAGACGGGACCCGCACAAGCGGUGGAGCAUUGUGGUUUAAUUCGACGAUACAC
rnacentral:rRNA from 1 species